UUAAAACAUACAAAAACCGACCGGUCUCAUCGCAUCUCUUACCUGUCUCAAAACCGAAGGGUGGGGCCCAAACAUGCCGCCUCGCCCAUUCCUCCAGCCUAUAAAAGGAGUGAGACGCUAGCUUUGACAACAGAGCGAGUCGAGACUUAGAACCAGCUGUUUCUUUUCUGAUCCAGGUAGAUCGCAGAGGAGUUUAAAAUGAGUGACUCACAGAAGAAGUGCGAGAAAUCGCAUUGCCAUCAAGGCGAUGGCAAAGGGCAAGGCAAGGGACAGGGACACGGGAAGGAACACGGACACGGGAAGGGACACGGACACGGGAAGGAACACGAACAUGGACACGGGAAGGAACACGAACAUUGCCAUGACAAAGACCAGAGUCAUGGUCCCGAUGGCAAGGGAUGCGGCACCAAGGGCCAGUGUAAGAAGUGACACUGCACACACCAGCCGGAUUCACAGCACACUGGCCAAAUGGUGUGCUUCAAGCACUGCGAUGAUUGAAAUGUGUUACAAGUUAUAUCAAUAAAGUCAUUUUCAAACACA